GCCUUCCUCUAUUCCCCACCCCCCAACAUGGCUGCACUGAAGCGUGAGCCUCAGCCUCAGUGUUUGUAGGGAAUGAUCAUAUUUUAACCCUAGCAGGGUGCCACUGCACCUUGACUCCAAACUUGAGGUGUUCCAGAGGGUCCUUGAGCGCUGCCAUUCGAGAGGCUACCAUUUAGGUCCAUGGCUUUCUCCGUGCACAGGAAAGGGCACUCUGUGAGGUUCUACAAGGUGACUCUCUGCCUAGCUUUACCGGCACCAGGCAAUGGUUCUGACCUCACUCUCGGGCCUUUGGUGUGGGGAAAGAGCCUGCAGCCAGGACAGCUACUGCUUGAGGUCACUAAGAUGAGAAAAUGGAGGCCUGGAGAACUGAAGAGCCUGUCCAAGACCAGCUAAUGAUCAAGGCACAGAGUGAGAGUGCUUCCUUCCCCUUGGCCCCUCACCUUCCCCUUUGGUGAGCUUGUUUGUCUGUACUAUUCUCAGGCCCUAGUAUAGGGAGAGUACCCCUUGGCCCUUACUUAGAGAAACCCCAGUUUCCAGAAGCCCCGCCCCAACAACGUACUGCCGCCUCUGAUUUAUUCAAAGGAAUGCUCACAGCCACCGAGAUCUGCUUCCCACCGUACAGGAGGCUCUCCUCUUCCUGGCCACCCUGAAGGUCCAACUCCCUUCAGAAUGCUCUGGUGACAUUAAAACUCAGAUGUCCUUCGGAACA
rnacentral:lncRNA from 1 species